rnacentral:rRNA from 1 species
AUACGUAGGGUGCAAGCGUUAAUCGGAAUUACUGGGCGUAAAGCGUGCGCAGGCGGUUUUGUAAGACAGAGGUGAAAUCCCCGGGCUCAACCUGGGAACUGCCUUUGUGACUGCAAGGCUAGAGUACGGCAGAGGGGGGUGGAAUUCCGCGUGUAGCAGUGAAAUGCGUAGAUAUGCGGAGGAACACCGAUGGCGAAGGCAAUCCCCUGGACCUGUACUGACGCUCAUGCACGAAAGCGUGGGGAGCAAACAGGAUUAGAUACCCUGGUAGUCCACGCCCUAAACGAUGUCAACUGGUUGUUGGGUCUUCACUGACUCAGUAACGAAGCUAACGCGUGAAGUUGACCGCCUGGGGAGUACGGCCGCAAGGUUGAAACUCAAAUGAAUUGACGGGG